GACGAACGCUGGCGGCGUGCUUAACACAUGCAAGUCGAACGAUGAAGCCGGAGCUUGCUCCGGUGGAUUAGUGGCGAACGGGUGAGUAACACGUGAGCAAUCUGCCCUUGACUCUGGGAUAACUGCGGGAAACUGUAGCUAAUACCGGAUACGACACCUUGGGGCAUCCCAGGGUGUGGAAAGAAUUUCGGUCAAGGAUGAGCUCGCGGCCUAUCAGCUAGUUGGUGAGGUAAUGGCUCACCAAGGCGACGACGGGUAGCCGGCCUGAGAGGGUGACCGGCCACACUGGAACUGGGACACGGUCCAGACUCCUACGGGAGGCAGCAGUGGGGAAUAUUGCACAAUGGGCGAAAGCCUGAUGCAGCAACGCGGCGUGAGGGAUGAAGGCCUUCGGGUUGUAAACCUCUUUUAGCAGGGAAGAAGCGAAAGUGACGGUACCUGCAGAAAAAGCACCGGCUAACUACGUGCCAGCCGCCGCGGUAA
rnacentral:rRNA from 1 species